rnacentral:tRNA from 1 species
GCCUAGUUAGCUUAGUUGGUAGUGCGUCCGCCUCGAGGCCGCGGGUUCGAUUCCCGCCCGAGGCG